UCUCCGUUGGUGAACCAGCGGAGGGAUCAUUAUAGAGUUGCAAAACUCCCUCAACCCUUUGUUCAUGUUACCUGAUCGUUGCUUAGGCAGGCGGCCCCAGGGCGGAGCCUGUAGCCUUUAAUUAGGUGCCUGCCGACAGCAUCAAAAAUUCUUUUUUAAACAGUUAUCUGAGUAUAAAUACAAAAUGAGUCAAAACUUUCAACAACGGAUCUCUUGGUUCUG
rnacentral:misc_RNA from 1 species